CAAUAGCGUAUAUUUAAGUUGUUGCAGUUAAAAAGCUCGGAGUUGGAUUUCGGAUGGGAUUUGCCGGUCCGUCGUUACGAUGUGCACUGGCCAGUCCUAUCUUGUUGUCGGGGACUAGCUCCUUGGAUUCACUUCCUGGGACUAGGAGCUGACGAGGUUACUUUGAGUAAAUUAGAGUGUUCAAAGCAAGCCUACGCUCUGAAUACAUUAGCAUGGAAUAACACGAUAGGACUCUGGCUUAUCUUGUUGGUCUGUGAGACCAGAGUAAUGAUUAAGAGGGACAGUCGGGGACAUUCGUAUUUCAUUGUCAGAGGUGAAAUUCUUGGAUUUAUGAAAGACGAACUUCUGCGAAAGCAUUUGUCAAGGAUGUUUUCAUUAA
rnacentral:rRNA from 1 species